rnacentral:rRNA from 1 species
ACGCUCGACACCUACGGAGGCAGCAGUGGGGAAUAUUGCACAAUGGGGGAAACCCUGAUGCAGCGACGCCGCGUGAAGGAAGAAGUAUCUCGGUAUGUAAACUUCUAUCAGCAGGGAAGAAAGUGACGGUACCUGACUAAGAAGCCCCCGGNUAAUUACGUGCUAGCAGCCGCGGUAAUCUGAGCGGGCUGGCAAGGC